AAGCGGAGGAAAAGAAACUAACAAGGAUUCCCCUAGUAACGGCGAGUGAAGCGGGAAGAGCUCAAAUUUGAAAUCUGGUAGCCUUCGGCUGCCCGAGUUGUAAUCUAGAGAAGUGUUUUCCGUGCCGGCCCAUGUACAAGUCCCUUGGAACAGGGCGUCAUAGAGGGUGAGAAUCCCGUCCUUGACAUGGACCCCCGGUGCUUUGUGAUACACUUUCAACGAGUCGAGUUGUUUGGGAAUGCAGCUCAAAAUGGGUGGUGAAUUCCAUCUAAAGCUAAAUAUUGGCGAGAGACCGAUAGCGAACAAGUACCGUGAGGGAAAGAUGAAAAGCACUUUGGAAAGAGAGUUAAACAGUACGUGAAAUUGUUGAAAGGGAAACGAUUGAAGUCAGUCAUGCUCUUUGGAUUCAGCCGUUCUGCGGUGUAUUUCCAUUGAGUGGGGUCAACAUCAGUUUUGACCGCUGGAUAAAGGCACUAGGAAGGUAGCACUCUCGGGUGAACUUAUAGCCUAGCGUCAUAUACAGUGGUUGGGACUGAGGAACGCAGCAUGCCUUUAUGGCCGGGAUUCGUCCACGUACAUGCUUAGGAUGUUGACAUAAUGGCUUUAAACGACCCGUCUUGAAA
rnacentral:rRNA from 1 species